rnacentral:rRNA from 1 species
AGUGAACGCUGGCGGUAGGCCUAACACAUGCAAGUCGAACGGCAGCACAGAGGAGCUUGCUCCUUGGGUGGCGAGUGGCGGACGGGUGAGGAAUACAUCGGAAUCUACUCUGUCGUGGGGGAUAACGGAGGGAAACUUACGCUAAUACCGCAUACGACCUACGGGUGAAAGCAGGGGAUCUUCGGACCUUGCGCGAUUGAAUGAGCCGAUGUCGAAUUAGCUAGUUGGCGGGGUAAAGGCCCACCAAGGCGACGAUCCGUAGCUGGUCUGAGAGGAUGAUCAGCCACACUGGAACUGAGACACGAUCCAGACUCCUACGGGAGGCAGCAGUGGGGAAUAUUGGACAAUGGGCGCAAGCCUGAUCCAGCCAUACCGCGUGGGUGAAGAAGGCCUUCGGGUUGUAAAGCCCUUUUGUUGGGAAAGAAAUCCAUCUGGUUAAUACCCGGGUGGGAUGACGGUACCCAAAGAAUAAGCACCGGCUAACUUCGUGCCAGCAGCCGCCGUAA